GACGAACGCUGGCGGCGUGCUUAACACAUGCAAGUCGAACGGAAAGGCCCUGCUUUUGUGGGGUGCUCGAUUGGCGAACGGGUGUGUAAAACGUGUGUAACCUGCCCUUGUCUUUGGGAUAACUUCAGGAAACUGGGGCUAUUACCGGAUAGGAGCUCCUGCUCCAUGGUGGGGGUUGGAAAGUUUCGGCGGUUGGGGAUGGACUCGCGGCUUAUCCGCUUGUUGGUGGGGUAGUGGCUUACCAAGGCUUUGACGGGUAGCCGGCCUGAGAGGGUGACCGGCCACAUUGGGACUGAGAGACGGCCCAGACGCCUACGGGAGGCAGCAGUGGGGAAUAUGGCACAAUGGGCGGAAGCCUGAUGCAGCAACGCCGCGUGCGGGAUGACGGCCUUCGGGUUGUAAACCGCUUUCGCCUGUGACGAAGCGUGAGUGACGGUAAUGGGUAAAGAAGCACCGGCUAACUACGUG
rnacentral:rRNA from 1 species